rnacentral:sRNA from 1 species
GAAUCGACCCCCGUCAGCGAGUUUCGCCCACGGGGGCGUUUGU